GAUGAAGAACGUAGCGAAAUGCGAUACUUGGUGUGAAUUGCAGAAUCCCGUGAACCAUCGAGUCUUUGAACGCAAGUUGCGCCCGAAGCCAUUAGGCCGAGGGCACGCCUGCCUGGGCGUCACACGUCGUUGCCCCCCCAUCUACUCCUUCGGGAUUGCGGGGGGCGGAUGAUGGCCUCCCGUGCGCCUCGUCGCGCGGUUGGCAUAAAUGCCAAGUCCUCGGCGACGCACGCCACGACAAUCGGUGGUUGCGAAACCUCGGUUGCCCGUCGUGUGCGGUCGUCGCGCAUCGAGGGCUCGAAAAAAUUGCCGGGCUCCGGCUCGGCUUUCAACGCGACCCCAGGUCAGGCGGAGUUACCCGCUGAAUUUAAGCAUAUCAAUAAGCGGAGGA
rnacentral:misc_RNA from 1 species